CCUCCACCCCUAUUCCACGUUUCAGCCUGUCACGGUAGAAGCACUGACCAUUGUAGCCUGAUUCGGCCAAAAACAAAAAUUCACUAUCUUUUUUUAUCCAAUCAUAUUUCAUACUUUGCUCCAGUGUAGCCAGUCACAUUCCAGGUCCCGCUCCACGCAGGUCCUGCUAGUCUGUCGCACUCCAAACCCCACUCGUAGCGCAGUUUCCGCCUAUCAGCUUCCAAGUCCUUCCUAGCCUAAACCAGUUUCUCUCUCCGCUUGCUCUGCGGCCCGCUGAACUACAUUUCCCAGGAGGCGUCGGGGCUGCGACGCGUAACUUCCGGCUGAAAAGAUGGCGGCUUCCUACAGAGUCGGCGGCUGAUUUGGAGGGAGGUUCAGGCUACGACACCCGCUAGGCACGAGGGUGUCCCAGAGGUCAUUAUUCCUUUAUUCACCAAGACAUUUUCAGUUUUAGCCACACAGGAGCCAUGGAAGUG